rnacentral:rRNA from 1 species
AUUGAACGCUGGCGGCAUGCUUUACACAUGCAAGUCGAACGGUAACAGGCCUUCGGGCGCUGACGAGUGGCGAACGGGUGAGUAAUGCAUCGGAACGUGCCCAGUCGUGGGGGAUAACGCAGCGAAAGCUGUGCUAAUACCGCAUACGAUCUGCGGAUGAAAGCGGGGGACCUUCGGGCCUCGCGCGAUUGGAGCGGCCGAUGUCAGAUUAGGUAGUUGGUGGGGUAAAGGCGCACCAAGCCAACGAUCUGUAGCUGGUCUGAGAGGACGACCAGCCACACGGGGACUGAGACACGGCCCAGACUCCUACGGGAGGCAGCAGUGGGGAAUUUUGGACAAUGGGCGCAAGCCUGAUCCAGCAAUGCCGCGUGCAGGAAGAAGGCCUUCGGGUUGUAAACUGCUUUUGUACGGAGCGAAAAGGCUCCCUCUAAUACAGGGGGCUCAUGACGGUACCGUAAGAAUAAGCACCGGCUAACUACGUGCCAGCCGCCGCAGUAA